UAAGACGAACCGUGCGAACGUUGUUCGGAUUCACUGGGCUUAAAGGGCGCGUAGGCGGGCACGCGAGUCGGGGGUGAAAUCUUUCGGCCCAACCGGAAAAGGGCCCCCGAUACUGUGUGCCUGGAGGGGGGUAGGGGCGGGCGGAACUUCCGGUGGAGCGGUGAAAUGCGUAGAUAUCGGAAGGAACGCCGGUGGCGAAAGCGGCCCGCUGGACCCCAUCUGACGCUGAGGCGCGAAAGCCAGGGGAGCGAACGGGAUUAGAUACCCCGGUAGUCCUGGCCCUAAACGAUGGGUACUAGGUAGUGGGCUUGACAUGGGCUCCCUGCCGAAGCCAAAGUGCUAAGUACCCCGCCUGGGGAGUAUGGUCGCAAGGCUG
rnacentral:rRNA from 1 species